rnacentral:rRNA from 1 species
AUACGUAGGUGGCAAGCGUUAUCCGGAAUUACUGGGUGUAAAGGGCGCGCAGGCGGCCUUGCAAGUCGGAUGUGAAAGAUCAAGGCUCAACCUUGACAGGUCAUCCGAAACAGUAAGACGUGAGAGACAGAGGGGAAAGAGGAAGUCCUAGUGGAGCGGGAAAAUGCGCAGAUAUUAGGAGGAACACCGGUGGCGGAGGUGGCUUUCUGGCUGUCAACUGACGCUGCGGCGCGGAAGCGUGGGGAGCAGACGGGAGUAGCUGCCCUGGUAGUCCGCGCCGUGAUCGAUGAUUGCUAGGUGUAGGGGGUAUCGACUCCCUCUGUGCCACAGUUAACGCAGUAAGUAAUCCACCUGGGGAGUACGGCCGCAAGGUUAAAACUCAAAGGAAUUGACGGGG